GAUGAACGCUAGCUACAGGCUUAACACAUGCAAGUCGAGGGGAAACGACAUCGAAAGCUUGCUUUUGAUGGGCGUCGACCGGCGCACGGGUGAGUAACGCGUAUCCAACCUGCCCACCACUUGGGGAUAACCUUGCGAAAGUAAGACUAAUACCCAAUGACGUCGCUAGAAGACAUCUGAAGGAGAUUAAAGAUUUAUCGGUGAUGGAUGGGGAUGCGUCUGAUUAGCUUGUUGGCGGGGUAACGGCCCACCAAGGCGACGAUCAGUAGGGGUUCUGAGAGGAAGGUCCCCCACAUUGGAACUGAGACACGGUCCAAACUCCUACGGGAGGAAGCAGUGAGGAAUAUUGGUCAAUGGGCGAGAGCCUGAACCAGCCAAGUAGCGUGCAGGAUGACGGCCCUAUGGGUUGUAAACUGCUUUUAUAAGGGAAUAAAGUGAGUCUCGUGAGACUUUUUGCAUGUACCUUAUGAAUAAGGACCGGCUAAUUCCGUGCCAGCUGCCGCCGUAA
rnacentral:rRNA from 1 species